AAUGCCCUCACUUAACGGUAGAAAACUAACGGAGUUAAGCGGAAGGACUAUUUGUUAAAAGUUUUUGAAGUUUUGUCUUUCCUUUAUCAUGUUUCCUUUCGUACUUUCUUUCUCUUCUUUUUGUUUUCUUUCUCGUGUCUCUCUACGUUCCCCAUCAACUCUAUCGCCGUUCACCACCACACCACUGUGUACCGUCGUCGUCGGCUUCGCAUUCGCAUUCGCCUCUCACCCACCUCCGCCUUCAUCCUCUCCACCGGUUGAGGCUACUUCGCCACACAACCAUCGCCACCAUCUGCCUCCACCACGACGCCACCUUCCUCGCCGAAGAGAGCAUCACCAGUGUCGACGACAUCUCUACCAUUAUUGCCAACGACAGCCUCCCUACCACUCCAUUUUGGGGAUUUUUAUCUGAUAGUAUAACAAGAUGGAUGACAAUGAUAGUCAUUUUAAAUCCAAGAGAAUUGUUUUUGUGACUGAACAAGUGAAAGAAGAACUGUCAAAGAAAGGAUACACCCACCUUGUCAUUCAAAUGGGUCAUGAAUCUCCUACAUCCCCCAAAAGGUAUAUUUAAUUAUGUUUUUAUAUUAAUUUACUUUUAGUUGAUUGAAUUAAAUUGAAUCUAAUUUGAUUGAAGCCAUAUCUAACGGACUACCGGAUAGAGUUUGACUUUUACGUGUUUGAGUUGACUUGCAAGUUGCAAUCAACAGCUAUGUAAAAAAAUUGUUAAUCCCUCAAUUGCCAUUUCAUUUUGAUAUAAACAUAUAUCGCUUGAGUACUUCAAUAUUCAAAGCAUAUUACCAAAUACCAAAGCAUAUUACCUCAGUGAAAGUUGGAUAUAUUAUUUCUUAGAUCAAGGACUCGUUGCAUUAUUUGGCCUUUUAUGCUUAGCAAACAAAAUAAACUUGAACUCUUUUUCCUUCUUUUUCAAACUAACCAUUGGUCCUGGAGGUAUAAUAUGUCUUUAGAGUAAAAUUAUAUCACAUAUUUCAUUGUAGAAGGGUUACAAAGGGUGGUUGAAUACAAUAUUUAGAAGAAAACAUAAUAUUUGUUGUUAAUAAACUUUAAAGGUUAAGUUGAUGACUUGUCGUAUAGUAUAUUUAGCUUUUAGAUAGAUGCCCUUUUAUGUAAUUUUACAUAUUUCAAAAGCUUCUAUCUACUUUUGCCAAACACUCGUAACAAAAGCUCUAGCUUCUGGUUACCAGCUAGUUUUGUCAAACACGCCCUAAACCUACAAGCAUUUAAAAAUGAAUUGUUUUACCAAGUGUUACAUGAUAAAAAAGAGAAACAAAAUAUAAUAAAGAUUUUAAGAAAGCAUAUAUACAUUAUGCCUUUUUCCAACCUUUAUGUUGUGUUUACGUAUAUACAUGCCACUUUGUUACUUGAUAAACAUGAAAGAUGUGAAUAGUUUAGAACUUAUUCUUAGAGCCGAAUUAAAAAAUCGAUUUUGUUACUUGAUAAACAUGAAAGAUGUGAAGACUUAUUCUUAGAGCCGAGUUAAAAAAUCGAUUGUUUGAUAAAGGUUAUGGAUAUGACUCCUAAUGGCAAAGACAAGCAUAUGUGGAAUUAUAAUUACGUUGCCCAUAAUAAAGUUUUUAGAAGCAAAGUAUUUACAUAUUUAAAAAACUGCAUAAAUUUAUAUUUGUAGAACAACAAUAUAAUAAAAUCCACAAGCACAUAUCUCUAGAUUUAAUAAAGCAUAAACAUCCACCAAUAAAUGAUCUUUAGAUAUAAUAAAUCAUAAACAUUCCGAAGCAUUUGAUGUAUUACCAGCAAAGCAAAGGUUAAUACAACUAUUUCGUAAACAAAGUACCGAAUGACAAAUUCAUGCAUUACAUGUAUUUGGGUAUGUUGUACAUAGAAGCCUAAAGAUAUAAAGUGAUAGCUUGAUGUGUGUUAUCUAGGUCAUGAUUUGUGUACAAUGUUAUAUUAUUUGCCAACGUAAUAACCGGGUGUCAUACAUGAUUAUAUAAACUUGAUAUAGGUUUGCAUGAGACAUCAUCAAUUUGAUUUUGUUUCUUUAGGAGGUUAACUUUUGAUGUUUAGAAUUGAAGUAUGUAAAAUACUUAUGGAUUUAGAACUACUUAUAUGUAAGUCUACCAACCUUUAUUGUUAGUAUUGAUCAAUAAAGAUCUAUCUAUAGGAAGUAUCAUCUAUGUACCAACUAUUAAUUGCUGUAAUUUCUAAUAUUCGGAGGAUACUACCAGUAAGUGCCACAUGUAUCUAAUAGUUGAGUUGAGCAUACAAAAACAAUUGUAUCAAAUAAAAUAUUAAAAGUUUUGCCUUAAAAGCUAUUGUAGCUUUACCCUACAUGUAGAUUUAGAGAUCCUUUUUGUAAAUUUUCCUAGUUUGACCACCCUCAAAGUCCUUUCUGCUGCCACAACAGCCCCCGCGGUGUGCAACUUGCAUUUUUUCUUACAUCAUUUGAAAUUUGAAUUACUAUACCACGUGACCACAUAAAACACACUAUUAUCAAACAUUUGGGAAAAAAAGUAGUGUACUAUUGAAAUUGAUCAAUUGAGAGGAGGGGCUCUUUAUGCAUUAUAUAAUUAAUAUAGCAAACUAGUCCACUUAUGUGAAUGGACUUGAAUCCUCAACUUUAGGAAGGGAGCACAACACUAGUAAAUUUAAUGGGUUACUUUUGAAAUCACAUCAUUUUGUUGAUUUCGGUUUACAAAAACGGAAGUCCUAUAUGAGUGGUAAAAUAGUCGUUUUUUUCACUUAUGUCGUUUAUUCAAUCCAUAAAACAAAUAUUAUUAUUAUUAUUUUUAUACAAUACUUAACUACAAAUACACAAUAUUUAUCGAUUCUAACACUAUAUUCACACAAUAGUUAAUGAGAAAAACAGAACAGAGCUUUUAGAUGUCAACAACUAAGUAUUUGAAAUGGUUGUGGAUUACAAACUACUUAUAAAUAUUUUUAAUUGCCAUUGUUGGCAUUAAGCUAUGAAGAUUUAUGUACGUGUAUGGCAACAUUAGCUGGGAGCGGGUAGCUUGUAGCGUUUUGUUAAACGUUACAUGAAGUAACAUUUGGAUUUGGAACGUUUUAUUUAAACUAAACGCUAGAAGCUUGUAGUGCAAAACAAGGUUUUUUGUUCAAAAUGGAGCGUUUUGUCAAACGCUAGAAGUAGAAGCUCGCAACCGCUCCAUGCCAAACACGCCUUUGUGGUACAAUUUAAUUGCUACCCUUCAUGGUAAUAAACAGACAUAUGAGGUGUUUAUAUAUAAUAGAUGUGAAAUUAGCUUACUAUAAUUGUUGUAAUUAUUAAUAUUAUUAAUUUUAGUCGGAAAAGCCACCAUAAAGAGAACUUGCAAAGCAUCAAAACAUUUUUUCCCAUGAAUAUAAUUGCUACGAGUGAGUGCGUUUUGUUUGCUUUUCUAUAUGUUGCACAAAUUUGAUCCUACAAACAUUUGAAAAAAUGAACUAUUAUACCAAGUGAUCACACGACAAAAAAAGGGAAACAAAAAAUAACGAGGCAUUUCGAAAAGGGCGGUGAUCCGUACACAAAACUUUUUAGCUCUAUACAACAAAUUAUGUUUUAUACAGUUAUACAGCACAAUCAUAUAAAUCAUAAAUUGUUGUGUAUGGUUAAAAAGGGUUAUGUACAAAUCACUACUCUUUUAAAAAACAUACCCAUAUAGGAUCGAGCCAAGAGUUGUAAGUAUUAACAACAAUAUAUGCAUUUUGGCACGAUGUUUCACAACAUUAUAAAAUAUGUGAAUAAUUGUGAAAUUGGAGUGAUCAUCAAAACAGAAUACACGUUGCAAUUAAGUGUUGAAACAACAUAUCAACAACUAAUAAGGAAUAAAGUCGUGCUACUUAAAUGUUCGAGUGGAGAAAGUGUAGUUAAAUCUCCUACUUAAUGAAGGGCGAGCACCAUAAAUCUAUCAUUUCAAAAUCCACUAAUCUUUGAUACCAUAUGUUUUUCUUUAAAAUUGGAUUUAGGUAUACAAUGUCAAUCACUUACUUACAAAACAAAAGAAUUCAAUGAUUUACCAUCUCAUUUGAAUAGCUAUUUGAUUGAAAAAAGAUUGAGAACUUAUAAUAAAUAUGUAGGGCCAUACCUAGUUAGAGUCCCUUUAACCAUCAAAUCCAAAUAGAAUAACAAUAUGAUCUUUAAAAACUACCAAAACAAGAGGUCGUUCUGAGCAGAAACUAAUUACUUAAAGAGUCAUCCUGUCAUGUGGUAGUUAUUGUGACCAUUUGUUGGUUGUUGAAGGCAUCUAGAUGUGUCUAGGUGAUGCAAGCAAUAAUCAGUUCAUUCAUAACUAUUCCUUCUACCUCUUUCGGCUUCGUGUUAUUAAUAAAAAAUCUCCCUAAGUAUUUUAUUCCUUUGUUAAACAAUAAUGUCAAUUUUUUUGCACUUACGAGUUAUUUUAAAUUGUGUAGUCGGAGGAGUUUACACUAUUGUUUAAUGAAUGAAUAAGAUGUUUAAGGAGGUUUCUUAUUAAUAAUACGGAGCUGAAAGAGGUAGAAAGAAUAGUUAUGGAUGACCUGUUCUUUUUCGCAUUACUUAACUGUAUCUAGCUAGGUGCCUUCGAUAUCUAACAAAAUAGCCACAAUAACUGCCAUAUGACAUGUUAGCUCUUUAAGCAAUUAGCUUCUCCUCUGGACGAUUUUUUAUAUGGGUGUUGUCUAUACGGAUCAUACUAUAUGCUAUUUGGAUUUGAUGGUUAUGGAACUAAUAAGACCUUACGUAUUUAUUAGAAUUUUUCAACCAUUUUUUUUUCAAUCAACAUGUAAUUCAAGUGAUUUGGUAGAUCAAUGUGUUGAAGUUUGUGCUUCAGCUGCUGUGUUUAAUUUCCAACAUUUUAGACUUUCUUUUUAUUUUUCUUAUUAGUUGUUUGACUGCUUCAAAUAAGUUGGUCAGUAGUUGCUUAUUUUUAGGAAGUUUAUUUGGUCAUGGAAAUAUUCCAUGUAAUCCCUUUUUUCACGUAUUAUCUGUUAGUUUUUUUAGCUGUAUUUAAAGUCUCUUCUGGCUCAAUAAAAUGUAAACUACACAACAAUUUUUUAUUAUUCUUUCUCUUGUACUUCCAUUUUCUUCAAAACUCCCCGAUAAAAUUGGUAUCAAAGCUUUCUUCCUAAGAUCCCAUGGAUUCAGAAGUACCUUUCACUUUAUUUACUCCACAAGCUUUCAAAGGUGAAGGUUAUCAUGUCUCGGAAGCAAGGAUGGAGGCUUAUCCGGAGGCAAAUGAUCUCUGGGAAGCUGUUGAAGAGGACUACGAAGAUCCCCCAUUGCCUGCAAAUCCAACCAUGCCGUAGAUAAAGGCUCAUAAGGAGAAGAAAACAAGAAAGUCAAAGGAAAGAGCUACGUUAUUUGCAACUGUCUCACAAGAAAUUUUCCUCAGGAUUAUGACACUCAAAUCGACAUUUAGGGUUUGGAAUUUCUUGAAGAGUAUAAAAGAGAUGAAAGGAUAAAAGGAAUGCGUAUUCUCAACCUCAUACCAUAAUUUGAACUUCAAAGGAUGAAGGAUUCAGAGACAAUCAAAGAGUAUUCAGACAAAUUACUCAACCUUGCUAACAAAGUAAGACUACUUUUGAAUUUCCCGAUUCCAGAAUUGUUCAAAAAAUUCUUGUAACUGUUCUUGACAGUUUUGAAGCAACUAUUUCCUCAUUGGAAAAUACAAAAGAUCUGUCAAAACUUAGUUUGGUAGAAUUGAUAAAUGCUUUGCAAGCAUAUGAACAUAGAAUACUCAUGAGGUCUGAAGGAUCUGUUGAAGGUGCAUUAAUUGUGAAAGCUUAGUCCAGUCAAGGAGGAAAAGGAAAAAAUAUGAGAAGAACAAGAAGGGACGUUCAGGUUAUGAUUCUCUUAACACCAAUAAGGGAUCAAAAUCUGACUGCUCUCCUUGUAAACAUUGUGGAAGAAAGGGUAAUGGACCUUCCAAAUGUUUUUUUUUUUUUUUUUUGAAAGAGCAUGGACCUUCCAAAUGUUGGAGAACCCAAACUAACAAUGUGAAAAAUUUCAAAAAUGGGACAUCAUCAAAGGAUUUGCAAAAGAACAUCCAGCAAAACACAGUCAUACAAGAAAAUUUUCAGCAAAAGAAUGUUGCUCAAGUUGCUGAUGAAGAAGAGGAGGAGCAAUUCUUUGUAGCAUCUUGCUUCCAAGUAGUCAUUCAAGUGAGAGAUGGGUCAUUGAUAGUGGUUGUACAUAUGAUGACUUAUGACCAAGAACUCUUCAAGGAAUUGGAUACUUCAGUGGUUUCCAAAGUAAAAGUUGGUGACGGAAAGUACAUUAUUGCUAAGGGGGAAGGCACUGUGGCAAUCGAAAGCAUUUCAGGUACAAAACUUAUUCAAGAUGUGUUAUUUGUACCCGAUCUAGAUCAAAAUUUGUUGAGUGUUGGGUAGUUGAUUGAAAACGGUUUCAAAGUACACUUUGAAUUAGAUCAUUGUUUAAUCCAAACUUCAAAUAACAAUGAUUUACUCAAAGUAAAGAUGAAAAGGAGGAACUUUGCACUUGAUCCACUGGAGGAGGAGCAAGCUGUUUUUUAUGCAUUCGGAGUCCAGUGUUAUCGAUGGCGAUAGCGAGGGCAUAGCGACAACCUAUCGCCAUGCUAUAUAGCGAUAGCGAUGAAAUAGCGAUGACUAUUUCAUUUUUAGAAAAUACCUUCACCUAAUUAGCAAUUAUAACUAAUAAAUAAGCUAAAAACCCCAAAGACUAUUAGUUCAACUAAGUUCUAAAACAUGCAUAUUACAAAAAAAAAAAAAAAAGAACAAGUAUUAAUCUUAGACUUUAAAAUACGAUUCACAAAUCAUCCAACUCCUCGUAUACGGGCUCAUCAUCCACUUCUUCUUCUACAACCUCUUUAUAAGCCCCAACAUCAUUUUCAAAAGCAAGGUGCGGUUGUAGAUGUAACUAUUGACCGCAAUUACUCUAUCAAGUGUCUUUUUAAGAUGAGGUAGUUUAAAUAUGUCAUCACGCAUCAAAUCGAUGCAAUGCGCCGCACACGGAGUCUAAUAAAUAUGUGGAUAUUUUUCUUCCACAAGUCGACCGGCUAAAACGUUGUUGCUAGCACUAUUGUUACAAUCUGAACCACAUUUUACGGGCCGUUUUUUUUUAUGAUUUGGUCAAACAAUUUGAACAAAUAUUCACCUGCAAAAAACAGGAAAAAACCGGCCCGAAAAACGUGGUGAAUAUUUGUUCAAGGAAUUGGAUACUUCAGUAGUUUCCAAAGUAAAGGUUGGUGACGGAAAAUACAUUAUUGCUAAGGGGGAUGGCACUGUGGCAAUCGAAAGCAUUUCAGGUACAAAACUUAUUCAAGAUGUGUUAUUUGUACCCGAUCUAGAUCAAAAUUUGUUGAGUGUUGGGUAGUUGAUUGAAAACGGUUUCAAAGUACACUUUGAAUUAGAUCAUUGUUUAAUCAAAACUUCAAAUAACAAUGAUUUAUUCAAAGUAAAGAUGAAAAGGAGGAGCUUUGCACUUGAUCCAUUGGAGGAGGAGCAAGCUGUUUUUUAUGCAUUUGGAGUCCAGUGUUAUCGAUGGCGAUAGCGAGGGCAUAGCGACAACCUAUCGCCAUGCUAUAUAGCGAUAGCGAUGAAAUAGCGACGACUAUUUCAUUUUUAGAAAAUACCUAUUAAAAAUUAAUAUUACUUUUAUCUUCACCUAAUUAGCAAUUAUAACUAAUAAAUAAGCUAAAAACCCCAAAGACUAUUAGUUCAACUAAGUUCUAAAACAUGCAUAUUACAAAAAAAAAAAAAGAACAAGUAUUAAUCUUAGACUUUAAAAUAUGAUUCACAAAUCAUCCAACUCCUCGUAUACGGGCUCAUCAUCCACUUCUUCUUCUACAACAUCUUUAUAAGCCCCAACAUCAUUUUCCUCUUCAUCUUCGUCUAUCAAUUGUGGUCCUCUAGAUCGCGAGCUCGACUCGGCGCCCUCUUUCCUCCUACUCGUUCUUCUUGUAGCAUAAGGCUCCUCAUCCACCCCCAUAGCCUCCGCAACUACAUCCCAUGUCAAGUUAUCAGAAAAUUUGAACAAAUUUUUUCCUGUUUUUUGCAGGUGAAUAUUUGUUCAAAUUGUUUGACCACUUCAUAAAAAAACCGGCCCGGAAAAUGUGGUUUAGAUUGUUACAGAUAGUGCUAGCAACAACGUUUUAGCCGGUUGACUUGUGGAAGAAAAAUAUCCACAUAUUUAUUGGACUCCGUGUGCGGCGCAUUGCAUUGAUUUGAUGCGUGAGGACAUAUUUAAAUUACCUCAUCUUAAAAAGACACUUGAUAGAGCAAUUGCGGUCAAUAGUUACAUCUACAACCACACCUUACUCUUGAAUAUGAUGAGAGAUUUCACGGGCCAAAGGGAUAUGGUUAGACCCGCAAAGACCCGGUUUGCGACUGCCUUCAUAACUUUGAAUUGCUUUAGAAAUCAUAAGAAAAAUUUGAAGAAGAUGUUCGCAUCUGAAGCGUGGAACAAAAGCAAGUUCCCGGGCGAGGCGUGAGAAGGAGGAAGUCAAACGGCUAACUCUAUAUUCUCUCCUAGUUUUUGGACCAAUAUAGAUAUUGCGGUCAAAAUUGGUGACCCUUUAUUAAUGGUGCUUCGAUUGGUAGAUAGUGAAAAAAAGUCUUCUAUGGGAUACAUCUAUGAAGCCAUGGAUAGAGCAAAUGAAAGAAUUGCCUCGUCUUUCAACAACAAAGAAGACAAGUAUAAACAAAAUUUUGAAAUAAUCGAUAAGAGGUGGUAUUGUCAACUACACCAAGAUUUACACGCGGUUGCCCACUAUUUGAAUCCGGGAUUAUAUUACAACAACAGGAGUGUGGAAGAUGAUAGUGAGGUAAUUACGGGAUUGAUAGCAUGCAUAUAUAAAUUGUCACUGUCAGAAGAGGAUGAGUUGAAGAUUCACACUGCGUUACCUAUAUAUAGAGGUGCACAAGGGAUUUUUGGGAUUCCGAUGGCUAAAAGAAUGAGAUCAAUGCUUUCAUCGGCGGAGUGGUGGAUGCAAUAUGGAUCGUCCACACCGACACUUAAGAAGUUUGCUAUUAAGGUGUUAAGUCUUACAUGUAGCUCAUCAGGAUGUGAACGUAAUUGGAGCGUAUUUGAACAACUCCAUUCCAAAAAAAGAAACCGACUUGAAUGGAAAAAGCUAAAUGAUUUAGGUUACAUAAAAUACGAGUAGGAGGAAAGAGGGUGCCGAGUCGAGCUCGCGAUCUAGAAGACCACAAUUGAUAGACAAAGAUGAAGAGGAAAAUGAUGUUGGGGCUUAUAAAGAGGUUGUAGAAGAAGAAGUGGAUGAUGAGCCUGUAUACGAGGAGUUGGAUGAUUUGUGAAUCGUAUUUUAAAGUCAAAGAUUGAUAC